rnacentral:misc_RNA from 1 species
GAUGAAGAACGCAGCGAAAUGCGAUCAGUAAUGUGAAUUGCAGAAUUCAGUGAAUCAUCGAAUCUUUGAACGCACAUUGCGCCCGCCAGUAUUCUGGCGGGCAUGCCUGUUCGAGCGUCAUUACAACCCUCAGGCCCCCGGGCCUGGCGUUGGGGAUCGGCAGAAGCCCCCUGUGGGCACACGCCGUCCCUCAAAUACAGUGGCGGUCCCGCCGCAGCUUCCAUUGCGUAGUAGCUAACACCUCGCAACUGGAGAGCGGCGCGGCCAUGCCGUAAAACACCCAACUUCUGAAUGUUGACCUCGAAUCAGGUAGGAAUACCCGCUGAACUUAAGCAUAUCAAUAAGCGGAGGA